GGGGGAGGGGGGCGGCGUGUAUUUUCAGGGCUUGCUCGUCUCCCUGCCAGCGGUGGUUGCAGAGCCGGCUGUGUUGGCGGCGGUUGCUUCUUUUCCUCCACUUCGGCUCCCUUUGGGAGGCGCGAUGCCCCGCCGGCCGGACCCUCAGCAAAAAGCCCACGGCCCCGAAACCAUCGGGAGGAAAGGAGACAAGUCGUCGGAGUGCGCGGCGGGAGAGUUUUGCGCCGAGAGGCUGGGUUCCGAGACCUAAACAGCGAAUUAUCCCGCCAGGAGGAGGAGGAGGAGAGAGAAAGGAAGCGCAAGCCAACCAGCUCCGAAUCAUCCGGAUCAGAUCUGCGGACGCCUUGCUUCGAAUUCCCUCCUUUCCCUGCAUUUCUCAGAAACUCUGAAGUUGAGAUUUUAUGAGGGGGAUGAGCAAGCCACUGAGAUCCAUUUACUUGGCUUUUCCAGUGAGUUUGCAAGAUUGGGGUGAGAAGGGGCGCUUCUUCUCUUCCUCCUGCCUGCCUCGCUGGGCUUUGAUGUGGAGUCCAGACAUGCUGUGAGAGAGGUUCAGCUGCAUGAUAAGGACUGCUCCAAAUUUUCAUGACGGGGAGUCAAAGGGAGGUCUUGGCUUCUCAACAUCUGGGACUGGGAAGACAUGUGUUCAUCCACAGAAUGCCUGAGAGCAAGAAUAGUUCUACAGUGGGAACCCAUAAUCCAUCCACUCAUUUCUCUCUCCAGGGCCUGCACCAAUAUUAAUAAUAAUUAUGUGGUCAAGUAAAUUCCA